GCAGAACGCGAAGAACCUUACCCAGGUUUGACAUCUUCGGAAGGCUUCCGAAAGGAAACUGUGCCGUAAGGAACCGAAUGACAGGUGAUGCAUGGCCGUCGUCAGCUCGUGUCGUGAGAUGUUUGGUUAAGUCCAUCAACGAGCGCAACCCUUAUAGUUAGUUGUAUUUUCUAGCUAGACUGCCCUGGUAACAGGGAGGAAGGGGGGGAUGAUGUCAGGUCAGUAUUUCCCUUACAUCUGGGGCUACAAACACGCUACAAUGGCCGGUACAAAGGGCAGCCAAGUCGCGAGACGGAGCAAAUCCCAUCAAAGCCGGUCCCAGUUCGGAUAGCAGGCUGAAACUCGCCUGCUUGAA
rnacentral:rRNA from 1 species